rnacentral:rRNA from 1 species
UAGGGAAUCUUCCACAAUGGGCGAAAGCCUGAUGGAGCAACGCCGCGUGUGUGAUGAAGGCUUUCGGGUCGUAAGCACUGUUGUAUGGGAAGAACAGCUAGAAUAGGAAAUGAUUUUAGUUUGACGGUACCAUACCAGAAAGGGACGGCUAAUACGUGCCAG